ensembl:lncRNA KCTD21-AS1 KCTD21 antisense RNA 1
GCAGGCGUUUGUAGCCACUUUUAAGUUUUAUCAGCUAGUUCAUGCUUGCGUUGAAAGAGUGGUCGUUUGCGCUGGGUCAUCACUGUGUAGUAUUGGGGAUACUUAGGUGAGAAAAAAACUUAACGCUAGAGACGUUCACGCACUAGUGGAGAAGCCAGGAUUGUUGCCCUAGAGUUACAGUAGAUAAAAGUACCUCAGAGAACUGCGGGGGCUCCCAACCUGGACGCUUGCACCGGAGUAUUAAAUCCAGCUAGAGAAUGGCAUGUGCAAAGAUACAGAGGGUCUCGCUCUGUAUCCCAGGCUGGAGUUCAGUGGCACGAUCUCCGCUCGCUGCAACCUCCGCCUCCUGGGUUCAAGUGAUUCUCCUGCCUCAGCCUCCCAAGUAGCUGGAUUACAGAGCAUGUGGGUGAGAAGAAUCGAUGCAGAAGCCAUCGCUCAGAGCGAUUUUCAGUACCUCUUCCACGAAGACCUGGAAGCUGUUGAUCUGCUUGUUGGCGGGCACCACCCAGAGCCUCUUGAGGUUCUGCUUGGUGUACUCCUCCUCUGGCAGGCCCU